rnacentral:rRNA from 1 species
UACGUAGGGGGCAAGCGUUGUCCGGAAUCAUUGGGCGUAAAGAGCGUGUAGGCGGCCCGGUAAGUCCGCUGUGAAAGUCCAGGGCUCAACCCUGGGAUGCCGGUGGAUACUGUCGGGCUCGAGUCCGGAAGAGGAGUGUGGAAUUCCUGGUGUAGCGGUGAAAUGCGUAGAUAUCUGGAGGAACACCAAUUGCGAAGGCAGCUCGCUGGGACGUUACUGACGCUGAGACGCGAAAGCGUGGGGAGCAAACAGG